CCUACGGGAGGCUGCAGUCGAGAAUCAUUCACAAUGGGGGAAACCCUGAUGGUGCGACGCCGCGUGGGGGAAUGAAGGUCUUCGGAUUGUAAACCCCUGUCAUGUGGGAGCAAAUUAAAAAGAUAGUACCACAAGAGGAAGAGACGGCUAACUCUGUGCCAGCAGCCGCGGUAAUACAGAGGUCUCAAGCGUUGUUCGGAAUCACUGGGCGUAAAGCGUGCGUAGGCUGUUUCGUAAGUCGUGUGUGAAAGGCGCGGGCUCAACCCGCGGAGGGCACAGGAUACUGCGAGAAUAGAGUAAUGGAGGGGGAACGGGAUUCUGGGGUGUAGCGGUGAAAUGAGUAGAUAUGAAGAGGAAAACUGGGGGGGAGGGGGGGUUCUGGGACAAUAACGGACGUUGAGGAAAGAAGGCGAGGGGAGAAAAAGGGAUUAGAUACCCUUGUAGUC
rnacentral:rRNA from 1 species